UUGUGCGUUAUGCGAGUCUGUGCUGCGGCCAUUAGUCACUGCUUAAACGAAUGCACCUUAUAACCUCUUUGCUUUACGUUACGGAAGCGUGACCAACAAAGAAGAAUAGCGGAUUACGCAAAAAAAAUCAAUGAGACGCGAAUAUGGAUCGCAAAAUACCAGGAAGCAUCAAGGAAGCAUCAAUUUAAAGACAAGUAGCGCUUAAAGCGGAAUAAGUUAUCAGUUAGAAUUAUGUACAAAUAUAGCAUCAAGAAAUGAAGACGAGCAAAUAAUGCCAGAAUCUGGAGCGUAUAAUUAAAAGAAGCUGUGAAGAUCAAUCUUGAAAAGGAAAAAGAAGAAAAAGAAAGAAUGCUCUUACCUGUAUAAGGCUACAUCACAGAUCAAAUCAUCCAACAUUAAUUAGAUAAAAUUAUACUAGUACUUCAACAGGCGAAUCUAGUGAACAAUUUAUGCACAGGAUAUCUAGAGCACACAUAAUUUUUUGAAGGCAAUAGCAUUUGAGAAAAAAUAUGGUAUUCAGAUUGAACGAGAUUCAAAUAUUAGUAAAAUUCAAGAUCUAGCAAAACAUUAUGCAAAUAUAAAAAAGAUGUUAUAAAAACAUUAAAAAUUAAGCAUAAUAAUAUUAAUAGAAAAAAGAUACUUGAAAGUUCUGCAACUUCAUCAAAAAAUGAAAAAUGAAGACUGAAAGUAUGUGUAAAAAAAGGAAAGAAGCUUGAAACCUUUAAUGAAUUUGAGAAAUUGCAAGAUUGUUUUUGAAGUAGUAUGAACCUCCUAGGUUGGAAAUUAAAUCAAAUAAAAUUAAUGAAGUUAGAAAGCCAAAAAAUUUAUUAUUGAAUUCGUUAUUAGAAGAUUCUAAAAAAGGCUUUUUUUAUAUUCAAAGUGAUUUAGAAAGAAAAACUUACCUGAAACAAAAAGAAAAAAAAUUAGAGAAUAAAGUGAAACUAUUGCAGCCUACAAACAAUUGAAGUCUAAGUAAUUAGAAACUACUAGGAUGAUGUUGGUAACGUGCACAUAGAUUGAACAGACCAACAGGAUCAAGCCUCUCGAGGAUCUCUGGAUCACGUACACC